rnacentral:rRNA from 1 species
AACGCGAAGAACCUUACCUGGGCUCGAAGCACAGUGGACCGGGGUAGAAAUAUCCCUUUCCGCAAGGACUGCUGUGAGGUGCUGCAUGGCUGUCGUCAGCUCGUGUCGUGAGAUGUUGGGUUAAGUCCCGCAACGAGCGCAACCCUCAUCCCUAGUUGCCACCGGGUAAUGCCGAGCACUCUAGUGAAACCGCCCCGGAUAACGGGGAGGAAGGUGGGGAUGACGUCAAGUCCUCAUGGCCUUUAUGUCCAGGGCUACACACGUGCUACAAUGGUCGGUACAAACCGUCGCGAGACCGCAAGGUGGAGCUAAUCGGAAAAAGCCGGCCUCAGUUCGGAUUGGAGUCUGCAACUCGACUCCAUGAAGCUGGAAUCGCUAGUAAUCGCAGAUCAGAACGCUGCGGUGAAUACGUUCCCGGGCCUUGUACACACCGCACUACUA